GACGAACGCUGGUGGCGUGCUUAACACAUGCAAGUCGAACGGAAAGGCCCUGCUUGCCGGGUACUCGAGUGGCGAACGGGUGAGUAACACGUGGGUGAUCUGCCCUGCACUUCGGGAUAAGCCUGGGAAACUGGGUCUAAUACCGGAUAGGAGCCAUUUUUAGUGUGAUGGUUGGAAAGUUUUUUCGGUGUAGGAUGAGCUCGCGGCCUAUCAGCUUGUUGGUGGGGUAAUGGCCUACCAAGGCGGCGACGGGUAGCCGGCCUGAGAGGGUGGACGGCCACAUUGGGACUGAGAUACGGCCCAGACUCCUACGGGAGGCAGCAGUGGGGAAUAUUGCACAAUGGGCGCAAGCCUGAUGCAGCGACGCCGCGUGGGGGAUGACGGCCUUCGGGUUGUAAACUCCUUUCGCUAGGGACGAAGCUUUUUGUGACGGUACCUAGAUAAGAAGCACCGGCUAACUACGUG
rnacentral:rRNA from 1 species